GACGAACGCUGGCGGCGUGCCUAAUACAUGCAAGUCGAACGAGAGCGACCGGUGCUUGCACUGGUCAAUCUAGUGGCGAACGGGUGAGUAACACGUGGGUAACCUGCCCAUCAGAGGGGGAUAACAUUCGGAAACGGAUGCUAAAACCGCAUAGGUCUUCGAACCGCAUGGUUUGAAGAGGAAAAGAGGCGCAAGCUUCUGCUGAUGGGUGGACUCGCGGUGCAUUAGCUAGUUGGUGAGGUAACGGCUCACCAAGGCCGUGAUGCAUAGCCGACCUGAGAGGGUGAUCGGCCACAUUGGGACUGGGACACGGCCCAAACUCCUACGGGAGGCAGCAGUAGGGAAUCUUCCGCAAUGGACGCAAGUCUGACGGAGCAACGCCGCGUGAGUGAAGAAGGUGUUCGGAUCGUAAAGCUCUGUUGUUAGAGAAGAAUAAGUGCUAGAGUAACUGUUAGCGCCUUGACGGUAUCUAACCAGAAAGCCACGGCUAACUACGUG
rnacentral:rRNA from 1 species